rnacentral:rRNA from 1 species
AUUAAUAAAUAUUUAUUUAUAUAUUUAUUUUUUUUUUUGAUUUAUUAAUAAAAAUAAUUUUAUUUUUAGUAUAUUUUAUAGAAAUAAUUAUAUGUAUGAUAGUAAAUAGUACUGUUAAGGGAAAUUUUAUUUAUAUUGAAAGUAGUUAUUUUUUGACGUACCUUUUGUGUCAGGGUUUACUAAUUAAAUUAAUUUAUUUAUUUUUCCCGAAGGGAAAAGAGCUAAAGUUGUAUGAUUUCAAUGUGUUAAAAUUGUUGAUAAUAUAAUUUUAGUAAUGAAAAGUUAUUCGUUUUUCCGAAUAUCUGGUUGUUUUAGAAUUGAAUUUAAUUCAGGUUAUUUAAGGAUUUUAAAGAUUUUAUUUGUAAUCUUUAAAUGGCUAAGGUUAUUAAGGAUAAGCUUGAUAAUUAUUUUAUAAUUAUAUAGAAAAUGAAGUUAAGGUAGGUUUUAUAUCGGCCAUCAUGAAUUUCGUUAUAGAUUAUUCUGGAUUGAUUUUUAUUUUGUUUAAUUUAAUUUUUUAUAAAACUAUAGGGUUUAAUUUUUUAAUUUUAAUAAUAAUGGUAAAAUUAGUAUAAUAGUAAUUUAAAUUAUAGGAACUAGACAAAUUAGAUGUUCGCCUGUUUAACAAAAACAUGUCCUUUUGAUAAUUUAUUUAAGGUCUAACCUGCCCAAUGAAUAAUUGAAUGGCCGCGGUAUUUUAACUGUGCUAAGGUAGCAUAAUCAUUUGUCUUUUAAUUGAAGGCUGGAAUGAAAGGUUGGACGAAACAUCAAUUUUCUUUAAUUUAAUAGUAGAAUUUAAUUUUUUAGUUAAAAAGCUAAAAUUUUUUUAGGGGACGAGAAGACCCUAUAGAUCUUAAUAAAGUUAAUAUUUAUUAAUUUGGGCGUUGAAUAUAAUUGAAUAUGCAGUUUUAUUUGAUUGGGGCGAUUCUAGAAUUUAACAAACUUCUGGUUUUAUUUUUCAUUAAUUUAUGUUUUUUUGAUCCAUUAUUAGUGAUUAAAAGAUUAAGUUACCUUAGGGAUAACAGCGUAAUUUUUUCAGAGAGUUCAUAUUAAUGGAAAAGUUUGCGACCUCGAUGUUGGAUUAAAAUAAGUAUUUGGUGCAGUAGCUAAAUUACUAGGUCUGUUCGACCUUUAAAUUUUUACAUGAUCUGAGUUCAGACCGGCGUGAGCCAGGUCAGUUUCUAUCUUUAAUUAAUAAUUAUAUUUUAGUACGAAAGGACCAAAUAUAAGAAAAAUUUUUUAUUAUUUGAAUAAUAUU